GCAGAGAGUAUGAGCAGUGGGAGCCCAGCAUAGAAAUCCUAAGUUCAAGGUUUGGCACCGGCUCAGCAGGUGACUAUCAAGCUUGGAUGUUCUGUUCUGCAGUUACCUAAUAUCUCGCAAUGAGAAAGGUUUGCGUCCAGCGAUGGAGGAAAGGUCACAGAACAAUCUGCAGCAGGUGAAAUGAAACCGCAGAGCCUCCAGAGAGCACAUGAACCAGUAAGUCCCUCCUCACCUGAGAAGGCUAUGAGACUAAGCCUGGUCUGGAAAUGCAAAUAACAUGCUCGAGUACAGCAAGAACAACAGCACUGGCUUUGGGUUUUGGUGCAACGAUAGGGGACCCUUAAGGCAGAAAUGAGGCUUACCUGGUGACAUGCUGGACAGUGCUGUACCAUCCCACUGGUUCAGAAUGGAGGAAAAACGUUGAAGCUGGUCAUACUCUGGAUAGAAAACCAGUCUCUGGGCUCCUGUCCCUCUGCCCUCCCCCUGCUUUACCUGUGUCACCAAAACUCUCCGGGGACAGCAACACCUACCUCCCAUGCCACCGUGAUGAUUAAAUGUGAAAACACAUAUGAAAGGUCUUCGUAAACUCUAAAGUGCUUUAUACAUGGAAAAUAGAAUUAAUAUCUGUGGAGGAGGGAGAAAUAGAGGGGCACCUUGAAGAAUGAAUAGGUGCUACGUAAGUGGAGAGCUGUGUGCCUGCCUGUCAAGGAAGUAAGCACUUUAUAAAAGUCAACUCAUAACGUCAGGCAGGGACUAUUAUUAUUCCCAUUCUACAGAUGAGGAAACUGAAUUCCAAAAAGUUUAAGUAACUUGAUCAAGGCCACCUCGUUGGUAAAUAGUAAAGUUUGGACUCACACCGAGGAAGUCUGGCUACAAAAUUUGUGCUCUUAACCAAUAUGCUCUUCUGCCUCCCUCAUUGAAAAAAAAAAUGUUUGUAAUUCAAUUUGAUUCCAAUCAAUACAUGGCUUGAGUGCCAGACUGGGCACUGGCUGUGUAAUGAUGAAGACAGUCCAUGCUCUCCAGAAGCAUAAGCAAAUAAGAAAAUACUCCAAAGAAUAAGGAAAUAAGAUACUACAAAUAUGACUGGCACUGGAAUAAUGUAAAGAAGAAUGUGGAAAUGGAAAAGAGGAGGAGUGUUCCAGUGGCCGUGCAUUUAACAGAGUAGAGAACCAAGCGGGUGGAUAAAGAGCAGUUCAAGGUGAGGCUGAAAAGGUGAUGUUCUGGAGCCUGAUGGUGGAGGGUCCAGAGUGCCAGGCUAAAGUGACAGGGUGUUAGCCUGGAGAGGGUGGGCAACUGUGAAGGAUUUUGGAUCAGGUAAAUAGUAUAUCAAAAAGAGAAUUUUAAGAGACUUAAACUAAUGAAAUAGGAGAAGGACGUUUAUCUGGGAUCAGCACAGUUACUCUAGUCUGUGGAUUGGUAAAGAUAAAUAAAGGUUAAUUUUUCAA